UCACACAAGAGAGGAAAUGAAAAGGGAAAUUUUUAGACUUCUCAUCUGUCCAGAAAGCCCCGGCUGUUUCAGAACCCGCCAGGGUAACCGUCGGGCCUGCGGUCACACUGCGAUCCCAGGAGGCCUUGCGCACGGCCACUCUAUCAAUAAGGAAGUACCAUCACUAAACCACAAGCCAGCUUUUUUUUCUCAGCCCACAUGUUGCUCUACAAGGUUUUAAAACAAGCAACUUUCCUGUUUUUGAAACCUGUGAAUCCUCAGGACUUCCAGGUUACCCAAAUUAUUUUAUCCCUUGCAGCAACGACGGACGUGAAUUUCAAAAGUGCUUUGCCCGGCCUUUCCUCCCCAGACUGCGGACGUCCACUUACCCAUUGGAUCCUUAUUUACAGUAUCGUGUUGCCAACCGCUGACACAGAGGAAAGAAAACACCAGUUAUACAUUAAACUUCGCAGUGCAGCAUCUGUGCCAGGUGCCGUCGCGAGGCGUUUACUCACUGACCAGAGGUGGAUGACCCCACCACCGAGAACGCGACAGAAACUACUCCUUAGGAGCGGCUGGCUGCUGUUCAUGCAGACACACACAUGCCUACAAAUGUAGCAUAAGGAGGCACCACAAUUCUAGGGAAGCUAUUAUAUUUAUCACAGAAAGUGCAGCAAACCUGUUGGGAAAUUUUUAAGUACAACCAAAUGGCAUUCCAAAUGCCUAAGAGGUUGUUCAGGUUGCUGGAAAAGCAACCCAGGAAAGCCUAGGUAGAGGAUUCUGCAGGGCGGUGGGUGAACGAUGUAAACUGUCGGGCUGAAUCCUCAGUGGUAUGCAAGUCAGACUUGCUUCCAUUGAGCAAAUAGAAGCACGCAGAUGAAAGGCUGCAUUGAGAAGACAUGAGACAAGUCCACAGGCUUCUCCUUCCUGCUCAGCUCAGCAGGCCGAGAACCGCGUGCCAGACCUAACAACUGCGUCUGAUGGCCAUCCUCUGGCUUAACUUCCGCCCUGGCUAGUGGCCACUUGGCCUUGCUCAAGCAGUGCCUGCAAACCUCAUCAUGUGCUCUCUGGCUGGAAGCGGCCAUCCUCCCCAGGCAGAACUGAAGUUCACUGAGGACUUCCGGAAGGUAAUUCACAUUCUGUUUUCAGUAGCUGCCCAAUGAGAGUGAGGAUAAACCACGGGUGAACUAUAUUCUGCAGCUCCAGCCAGUGACCUCUAAGCCCACUUUGCAGAAUUCCCCACGGCAAUAAUGAGCCCAGCAGACACUUAUCUAACCUCACAGCUUUUGUUCUUUUUGGGUUAAAAUGAACACUUAGUUCAUCAACACAUACACAUACACACACACACACACACACGCACACACACCCCUUCCCAAAAAGAAUCUGCUCUCAGUUUGAGCACACAGGUAUUCUGUUUAUCUUCUUCUCUUCCUUCCAACAAACCUUCCAGCACUAAAAGGCUGGGACAGGCUCUGCAGGGCUCUGGGCUAUGACCUCCGUGUCCGAGGCUGGGUUCUCUUGGAGCAGCCCUGGCCCCUCUCUGGUCAAGUGUGGAGUGUCACAGCAAGGAGCCUCAGGAACAGAUCAGAGAAUUUCGACCAGCCCACUGUGGCAUAGCACAGUCCGCCCUUGGGGAGAAACAUAGAAGCUAAGAAUUCCAGAGAAUUCCAGACUUCCCACACAGACCAGCAGUUAUUUUUAACCACAGUCCUCAUUGGCAGACAAUCUGCUCUGUUUGUAUGGAAAGCAUCCUGUUCUUCCACCAGGUUUUUAAAUAACCACGUUUCCUCUCCUCCUUCAGAAAAGCCCAGCGACACACUAACGCGAGGUAAACAUGGAACUGCUUUCUGACCCCCAGAUGCGGCGCUCAGGCCUUGGAUCAGCACAGGGGCUGCACCAUGAGUCUCACCCUGACAACGUAGAACUCAGCUCUUGCUUCUCUCCAGGAGUAAGUAUUCCCCAGUGAAGAAGGAGAUGCCUCCACUGACCCCACACACCCAGGGCCAUGCUUAAGGCCUGCAGGCUGCAUGCCCCACUCUCCUGGGCCAGCUCCAGGGCCAUCAUGGGCACUGGGCAGAGGUGCUUCUGGUGAAGCCUUUGCAGUAGGCCUGUCGGUCACCUGUGGGUGCUCUCCAUCCUGACAUCACCACCCCAUUUUCUCAGGCCAGCAAAGCACAGAGGAAGAUAGGCCAUGGGGUGAAUCCAAGAUAUCGCCUUAUAUUUGUGUCCAUGAAGAGUGACUCAUGUUAUAGAGUCUCUCUCAAUUUCUUUAUUUAGUACAACAAAAUACCCUGUAAGGAAUUGAGAUUCAUGAACCUUCCCUUAGGUAGCCAAGACCCCACGAAGGUCUUUUUCAAAAGCAGCCCAAGAAGUCAGCUUUGGGGGGAUCUCAAAUAGCACAUGGAGAGUAAGGACUGAGAUAACGUUUCCAACAACACAGCCUACAGACUCAAAAAGUGCUAAAUCUCAAAGACGAUGGGCAAAGGCAAGAAGAGGCACCCUCAAAGAUUGAGCUAUGUCAUUCAGAAAAGGAGCUCAAGUGCCACAAGAAGCCUGAGCAACGAGCAAAACAAAGGCAACAUUUUCACACAUUUAUGCCUGCAAUUCUACAAAUACCUGUAAUUAAAUCAAUAGGUUAAAUUUUAUAAUGCAAGAUUUGACUGUCACUUGUAUCAUUAAAAGUUUAUAUAUCCAAGCUGGCCAAGAAAGACCAAAACUUUUGUAACCCGCCCAUUGGGAAACGAGGCAUUGCCUCAUAUUUGGGGUUGCAUAUAUGGUACCAGCACCUGCCAAGCUUGCUCUUCCUAACAAGAGUAUUUCUUGAGCACCCACCAGAUGCAGGCAGUACGCCAAGCUCUGAGAAUAAGCAUCCUUGUGUGCAUGCUGGUCCUGUGAGGGAUGUCCUGUCAUCCCCUCAUUUCUUCAGGGGAGAAAACCAGGGCUUCGAAAAUGUGAGUUACUUUCUCAAAGAAAUAAAUGGAGCACAGGUCUGAUUUAUUUUGCCUACUGCCCCUGAAAGCUCUUUUACUCUCCCUUCCCCCAAGUAACCACCAAGACCCACCCUAAACCAUGUGGCAAUAUCCAGGUUUCUAUUACAUACUUGAAAUAAGGAGAACUGGGCAGCUGGGGGAGGAGGGAGGAGCAUCUGCCUGAGCCCAGCAUAGCCAUCACUUCACACUGUCAUGGCUAAAUCAUGUCUUUGGCUAUGGAGUCCACUGAUGGAUGGUGGAUAACAUCACCAAUGAUGGCUGGAAUCUGCUUAGGUACUUGCAGGAGGCCUGGCUGGGGCAGCCUGUGGACUUAGACGUUGUUCAUGAUCCACAUGCUCCUUCUCUCGUGUGCAGACACGUCGUCACGCUGAGUUCCUAAGUCCUCACCACCUCCUCUAAUACCAACUGGCCAUAAAGUGGGGGAAAGAAGCACAUCAAACUCAGGCCUGCUCAGGUCCAGCAUACAGGAUGGUGUUUCCCGUAAAAGCAAAAGGAAAACAUGGCCCCUCGUCCUGGAGCCACCCCGUAAUCCCAAGCAGUCAUCUCGCUUUCCUUCACUGCCGUUCCUUCAUCAUCAAAAUGCCAUAUUUGAGGACCAUAGCUGAAGUAGCCAAGUAACAUUAUCCAAUCAAGGGGAGCACCAUCUAAUGGUCACAGAGGCUGCGGCGUCGGCAGCCACACGUGUUUCGUGGAACGCACUCCCAUGCCUGAGCAAGCAGGAAAACACGCGAGGGAAGUAAUCCGGCUGAGAAUGAACUGCAAACUGAUGAACACGCAGUUGCUAAUGCAGUGUUUAUUAUUUUUUACUACAAUAAAAAUUAACCUGUACACCACGCUGGCCAGCCAACAGAGUGAACUCCACCGUCUGGAUAGCGGCAUUGGUGUCUCUGUAGCCUCGGGUUGCAGGGGACUGAUGCCAGGUCCAAUUUUAUUUGUAAAUAGGCCCUGGGUGUCUGGACAACAGAACCGGGAGGUUCCUGGGAAGCAAGAUCCAACAUGCCCAUGAGCCCAAGACGGGCCCGGGAAGUAGGAUCCCUUCCUGCAUCCCCAGGCUCCUGCAUUUCCCAAGAAAGAGGUUCCACACGCUCGCAGGAGAGUUGCCAUCACCCUGCAUCACCCGCUAGACGACAAAGUUGUGUCUCUCAAGGGAACCAGGGAACAUGGGGCAUACGGAGGGGCCUCGGGCGAGCCCUGGCAAGCUCAGCCAGGCCCUGUGACAGCAGCAGCAACCACGGCCCCCGCCUCAGAGCCGACCUCUGCUGGGGCUCCUCCAUCAGCUUUGCAAGCAGCUGGAGGAGUCUACUCCCCCCGCAGCGCCCUGCGCAAGCAGGCCUAAAUUAUGACUCAUGGAAAUCCCCAGUGCUGCGGGGAUCAGGUCGCUUUCAGACUCCCAGCAAUUAAUGGCCCUUUUGGUCAAAGGAGAAUAGGAAAAACAAAACCAGCCUGCAAGGCUAAGGGCUUCAAAACAGGCUGUUUGGUUUCUAGUAAAUUAGAGGGAGUGGGUGGAGAGGUACCAGUAAUGCUGUCCUGUACAAUGUGGUCUUCUUUGACGUCAGCAGCAGGUUUCUCUCUCCCUGUCUCCUCCUUUCCCUCCCCUCUCUCUCCCAUGUUCCCUCCCUCUUGCCUCUUUGUGUCAAAGAGACAGAUGACAUAGGGUGGCUCUGGAAGACGACUCAUAGUCCAACACUACAGUUCAGGGUCUCAGAAGACUCCCACCCUUGCGCGAAGGCUAUGGUGAGAGGUGGGCAAAUUAAGCAAGACAAAAAUGCACGGGACUCUGCAGGAAGAAGGGCAGGCCCCGGAAUCAAGCAGCAAGCCCCACUGGCCGUGCAUUCCUCCUGUCUGGCCUGAGGAGCGGUUCUGUCUGAGGGAACAUUCUUCCUGUAGCACAGAACACACACUGGUCUCCAGUGGGCCUGAAAUAGUAUCCUGGAGAGCAUGCACCCUGCUCUGUGGUCACUCUUCCUGGCAGCCAGCUGGGGCUGCUGGGCCAGGGUUUCUCCUGGCUCCCCCGCUUCUUCCACCAGAGCUGUUUUUCUCCACAGCAGUGCUGCUGCGUGUUAGCACAGAGCCAUCUAGACUGAAGACUCGAGGCAGGCUGAGCGCUCUGAGCCCGGCCCUGCCAUGCUGCAUCUCCCCCUUUCAAUGGUAUCUUCCAGCCCCUCUGUUUUAACAGGGACAGCAGCUUAGACCCCUGGGAGCCCAGCCAGGUAGAGACACGGGAGUCUCUGUAGACUGGGCCACUUCCUCCGUGGCUCUCAGUUGCCACAUGGCCUCAGCAAGCCAACUUGGUCUCUGGAGUAACGUGACUUUGCAGAAAUGCUUUCCACAGGCAGCUCUGUGAGAGCAGAAAUCCAUCCCCGAGCCCUCGGGUUCUGCAGGGCGGGAGGAACAGGGGGCUGGAGGAGCAGGGGGCAGGAAGAGCAGGGCUCAGGCCUCGGGUACACAGCCUGAUUUGUCUGUGUGAGAUAUGCCGCCUCCUCCUCUCCCCUCCUCUGACCUGCACAGCAAGGCCAUCAGAGGGCCUCAGAACAAGGAGUAUUUUGUAAGCCAACGCUUCCCAAGCUGUCUGUGGGCACCGGGUCCAUGGGAAAAGCAGACUGGCAAUGGGAAAGCACAUGUAAGAGAGAACAGAGCCAGUCACAUGGGUCUAUUCAGAGAUCAGAACCUGAAACAGAGCUGUGUGUGUGUGUGUGUGUGUGUGUGUGAGUAUAUGUGUGUGUGCAUGCGCACACUUGUGCAUGUCGGGGCAGGGAGUGCUCUGUGGUAGCAUGAGCAGAAGAUAGCUUCUCAGUGAGAGCACAGGCCCAGCUCACACAGGCAUUGACACAGAUGUGCAGUGGAUGGAUGAACCAGCAAGUGAGAGAAAAGAUCUAGGAGAGGAGGAGGCCAGGGGCGGCCUCCACCAAGCUGUCUCACUAACAGUGCAGGGACCAAUCUGUGCCCGUACCAUGGGACAACCAGGAAGAAGGCGCCCUGGUGGCCACCUGACCCAGCAAAUCACCAACCGCCACUAAACCACAAUCAUGAUCUUCAGCAUCCCUAAGGGGCUAGAGUCUCCCUACUGCCUCCCUGCCUGGUCCUCGUCCUGCCUGGCUGGUAUCUGCUGUCAUCAUUCACAGCAGCAGUGUUCACUAUGGCCCGUGCAAGAGGAAAGAGCUAACUCUGCCGAGCAAGUGUUACGGCGUGUGGGUGCGGAGUGUACUAUUCCCACUCACACUGGCUGAGAGGUAAGCAUCAUGGCCCCCAUUUUACAAAUAAGGAGUUGCAGAGAAGUUAAGUCACUGGCCCAAAGUGAUGCAGUAGCAGCAAAGAGACGCUCACGCUGACAUGAGACACGUUCCUUCGAUGAAGACAGGUCAGUGAAAGCUCAGCUCCCAUUGCAGAGGAGCUCGGAGGACAUCAGGGGACUCUGCAAGCCCCACACUCUGUGUGUAUGUGCCCAUGUGAGUGGCACACGGGUGAGCCCACUCAGCCCAGGACAGCACCUUCGGCUGGCACAUCCAGCCCGUGUUCUACCAAAAGCCCGUGUUCAAAACCCACUUAUUGAAAAGCUCAUCUCUGGUUGGGCAGGACAAACGCUUGGCCUGAGGCCGUUCCAGGGGACUGUGCUUCUCGCCAGAGGUUCCUGCCCGGGAACAAAGCCCAAUAAACCACACAACCGAACCCUUGGAAAGAUCAGCAGACUCAGGUGACGACAAGUUUAUUUUAAGUAAAUCAAGAGGGAGACGGGAUGUGAAAACAGUUUCUGCAAGGGCUGGGGCUCAUCCUCGUCCCUUCUCUGAGGUGGAGCCCACCCACCCAAAAGCACUGACUGGAACAGAGAGGAAGAGCCUGGUGGUCCCCAUGAACCCACAGCUGCCCAUGUGGAGAUGUGCCCAUGGGGCACAGGGGCUCUGCACAGUGGAAGCACCGCUUUGCUCAGAUCUCUCCAUGCGUCCUCCAGUUUCUGAAUGAAGACUCUGCUGCUUUUCCUUCUUGGCAAAGCUACUCUCAUUAAAAAGCCAGUAUCCUAGAAACUGAAGUGGCCUUGGAUGCCAUUCUGUUGCAGCAGACUGAACUUUCCUUGCUGAAUCAGACCCCUUAAUAUGUCAACGAUGAGUCACACACAAGUAAAUGAGCCACCAGGAGGAAGAGAGAUAACGAGGCGAUAUUUAUCAGUGGCUGUCUCUUAGCAAAUGAUGAGCAUUGCCUACCCACUGGUCAUGUUGCUGUGCGUUACCUUCCCGACCAUCACUUAGGCACUCCUGGGAUGGUUUCUAACUGUCAAUAUUUACAGGAACUGGCCCUUCACCACCCAGGCCAAGUGGGCUGGAUGUCUCCAAGUGUGAGUCCUGACGAAGGAAGCCUUGUAUGGAAGGGUCCCUUCUCUAAGUCCUCCUUGGCUGGAGCAGACUUCGAGCCAAUGGCCAUCUGUCAGCAGAGCAGGCCUGACUGUCCAGCCAGUGCCUGGAAACCUGGGGCUCCACUUGAGAAUGGGGGCGUAGUGAUUUCUUGGGAUUCUGAAAGCUCAGGGUCACGCAUCUGAAACGCAGCUACCCUCAGAAAAAGGGUGACUUACAUUCUCAUGAAGGAAAGGAUUCUGCUUGGUAAUGAGCACGGAGCAAGAGGAGGAGGGCAGGAUGCAGGGGCAGCCAUGGAGCCAGCAGAGGAAGGCGUUGAGGAGGAAGUGGGGCCAAGCACAUGGUGGCUUUGGGACAUUCCUGACGUGCUGACCCUCAGGUAAGCCUAGGGAUAGGCACGUUUGAUGGAGUGUAGAAAAGAAAGGGAAGUUGUGCCAACCACACAGAGAGACGCCACGGACUCCAGGAAGACCACGCUCGGCAGGAGGAGGCAGCAACCAUACAAACCCCAACCCGGCUCUCCAGGAAAUGUGUCUGCACAGGCAUCCCAUGCUGGCCACAGCCCUCUGGGGACCAGCACUAUGCAGCCCAGGACCAAUUGGUCGACAAUGAGCUCCUAGAAUCCCAGCCCCUUUACAAUCAAUGAGGUAAGCUGGCACUGCAGAAACCCAUGAGACGGUAGGAUUAUCAUUGCACUACAUGAUAGAAAGUGCUGGGUUCAAAAUGGCAGACUCCCUAGGAGAACAAGAAAUGGUAAGACUUCCACACUGUGCAUAGGUUCUUCAUAGGCUGGGCACGUUUGAAGUUGCCAGAUGUUCCCAGAGAUCGCAAGAUGAUUCCAAGAUGAAAUGAGCCACUGAUGGCUGCAGACAAAGAGGUCACAGCACAUGACCCUCCAGGACCACAAGGCCAAGGACAAUCUGCCCGUCGCAGUUGCAUGGGCAACCCCUGCCCAUGGGGGAGGGGCAGCCAGGAGGAAGGAUGCUUCCGAGUCUGUGAGGGGUUUCCAUCCCAUCCCAGGGCUUCUGGGGGCCUCUGCCGGGCCCUGCGUUUCAUUUCCCCACGGGGUUUCCGCUUUCUGUGGAGGGCGGAGGCCAGGCGAGGCUGAAUCGGGAGAACUCUGGAGGAGUAGAUGAAGACCCACAGCCUUUCCCGGGUCCUCUUUCCAUACUUCUCUGCUUUCGUCUCUAGAGUUUCCUGAAUCCCCAGAGCAGGACAUGUGCUGAGUGGACAGGUUGGAAGGUGGAACCAGUUUGCUGGGGCUGCUGCCACAAAGUACCAAGCCCAGGAGGCUUAGACAACAGAACUUCCUUUCCCCACAGCCCUGGAGGCUGGAGUCCAGGGUCAAGGUGCGGCAGGGCUGCUCCUCCCAAGGCCUCUCUCUUGGCUUGCAGACAACAUCUUCUCCCUGCGUCCUCACCUGACCAUCCCUCUGUGUGAUCUGUCUUCUCAUCUCCUCUUCCACAAGGACCCCAGUCACACUGGAUGAGUUCCCACCCAUGUGAUCCCAUUUUAGCUUGAUCACCUUUUGAAAGACCCUGUACCCAAGAGGGUCACACUCUGAGGUCCCGGAGAUUGGGACUUCCACCCUUACAAAGAUGAAGCAGGAAGAAAGACCAACAAAUCCAUGUGGAGCCCCCACCCUGUUUGGCUCUGGCCAGGCAACCGGGUAAAAGAACUGUCCGUGCUGUCUAUCUCACUGCACCUGAAGGAGGACAGCCCUGGAGGGAGGAGGGCAGAUCAGUUCUGACCAGAAUGAGCACGCAUCAGGCUUCCCCCAGGGCAAGAGGGCUCCACACACUGGACACAUGCUGCAUCCCGGGAAGACCAAGUCCAGAGCCAGAAGACCCUCCCAGACCACUAAGGAACCAUGUGGCCACCACUGCAGGCCCAGAGAAGCCCACCAGCACCUUUCCAGAUCAGGAACACGGUGCCGAGGUGAAGUGCCCCCAGUGAGACCAGGCCUUCCUGCUGCCCACCCUGCAGCCCCCAUGAAGCCCGGGGGCCCACAGCUGCCUGGAGCCACAGAGCAGAACUGAAAUCCCCAUGAUAGCAUUCAGGUUGGUUGUGCCGAGCAGGCUACCCACCACAGACCACAGCCAGCUGCUGGGUGACAGGAGCUGCUCCUCCCUGGGAUAAUGUCAUCCAUGAGAGGAGAGUGAAAGUUUCUACAUCCUCCCCUCCAUCCCUUAAAACACCCAGUAUUCUGUGCCCAAAACUGCACCCCUAGCAAGAAAGCCAAUUAGAGGAACAGAGAGGCUGCCUGCCUGUGGGCGUGUUAACCAGCCUGCUCCUCUACUCCCCACAGAUAACCUGUGACAUCACUUGCUUGUCAUUAUCUGUUUUGUGCAUGUUGCUUCAUCUUCAGAGACAUCUCCAGUGGGUGUUUGGGUGACUAAAAGGAGGUCAGAGUUCCUCUGAUCACCAACCAGACAGCAGGGGCAAGCCAGGUGACCCUUGGCUGAAGUCGGCCUGGCAUAAACGCAGAACCCUUCCUUUCAGUGUCUUUCAGGCUGUGCUCUCCACCUGGACUGCAGCCCCCAGUGAAUCUCCCCUGCGAGGGAGUGGCCCUUUUGUUCUUUUCCAGCACAUUCCUGCUCAGGUCCCCACGUAACCAGUCACCUGGUCUUGCCAGGAGUCUUGCCUUUGUGGCCGAGCACACAGGGCAAGAGUGCGAGUCAAGGUUUCCUCUGCUCCGCUGGGAUUUUCACGGGGUUUUUAUCUGGUUUCAUUUUCGCCAGCCUUCUGAGAACGUUCUCGUGUUCCUCCUUCACGCACCCCGUUGAUCCUCCAAGGCAUUCUGCCCAGAGAGCCACACAGCUGUGCAUCCCCCAGAAGUGGGGUUCAGAAAACCCCCUCACCCCAAGGAUUUUCAAACCAGAAACAGCCCCUGCCCCAGACCAUGCCCCUCGCUGCCAGGCCUGGGGUGGGCAGAGGUGAGGCCACAGGACCUGGCCUGUGUCUUGGGAAGAGCCUCGGUGCCUGGUGAGGCUGGUCGAAUUGACUGACUGCCCAGGACAGGGGCCCUUUCCUCUGCACUGACCAUGGAAUCCAAAGUGAGCUGCAGCUCAGCUCUGUCAUCUCCACAGCACCAGGAUGGAGCCUCCAUGCUCACUGGGUCCCAGUGAGGCCACCAUGGCCUGGUGAGGUGGCAGUCCCUCUCUGGUGCAAUGAGCAAAGCGUAUCACCUGCCUGGUCGAGGAAGCUUCUCAGAGAGACGAAAUCAGUGUUUGAGAGACAGCAAGCGCCUUGCAGGCUGGCCCUGCUGCGGUGUCCUGGCCACACCAAGCCCUUCUGGAAGCGCCGUCUGGUUGGACUUGCAUUUCCCACACAUGCAGCUACUCCAUUUCUCGCUAGCCAUGGGGUAGCCCGAUGCUGGUCGUUGUACCUGAGCUAGUCAGCUGACCCUCUGCCCUGAUGGCAGCAAUGGGAGGGUCUAGGGUAAGGGAGAGAAGGCAGCUGAAGAAGAAGCCACCUUACCCAAGUGAGAUGAGGACGCAGCCCCUUUGCAGAGGGUGUGGAGGGAGGCUGGAGGUCCUGCGCCCCAGGCAGAGGCAGGCAUCUGGAUAGCUGCAGUGCUCCUGGGACAGGCAGCAGGCAGCAGCUUUGGAUAGCCACCAGGACCCUUCCAUGGGGACGUGCUGGCCACACUGUCCUCGCCUGUCUCGUCAUCUGCCAAAUGGACAAGUGGACCACAGGAGACCUGGCUCAAGCACCUCUGCUGUCAUACUGACCCCUGUCUGCAGGCCCUGGGGCCUGGCCUCCCUGGCACAGGCCACCCCCAGGGCGAGGUUGCCCCUCAGACGCACCCACUCGUGUCUUUCCACCAGAACCACAGGAAGGCCUGAGCAGGCUUGCUAGAGCCAGGCCCUGGGGCCCACUGACCCCCUCACUCAGCUCAAGGGGUCUGGGAGGGCCAGCAGACACGGGUCAGAGCCUCUGUUUUGGCUCCAAGUUCAGGGAGUCUAGCCAGAGCCACACAGCGUCCCCGGGGACCCCUCGGGAGCGGACCCAGUCCUGAGUCAGAGGAAACACUCACUGAAUCACCAUCCACUUCCUCCCACAGCUCGGCCCAGACAAGCAGCUGCUUCCCAGGCACAAACCAGUGACAGCACUCCAAAGGGGAGCCCACCGGCCCCACUCCCAUGCAUGAACCCCAAGCCCCAUCCAUGGGGCCCACCCUCCACUUUUCCAGAGUAGAGCCCCACGGCUUUAAGCAGCCCCAUCCUGUCCUGUGCUGACCUGGCCAUGCUAUUUCUCACUUCCCUCUUCAGGGCACAGCCACACUUUCCAAAUGCCAUGAGUCAUCACCACCAGCAACGACUCCUGAGUGGGGCCAGAAACCGCCAAGCGCCAGACCUGGACAGCAACUCCCCCUGUGCCCCCCCCCCCCGCCCAGCCGCUGGUCAUGGUGGCACAGGGCCACAGGGAAACUGCUGGGCAGAACUGCCCCUCAUGCACUCAGCCACCCCAUCGUCCUCAGGGAGAACUCAUCCACCCUCAAGAUAACUUAUGGGCAGCUCUUGGGUGCACUGGCAGAGGUGAAGUCAUCAUCUAAUCCAAAGAGGCGGAAGAAGGGGUAGGCUGGGCCCAGACCCAGGGUGGUCAGAUGAGAGAAGAUCCAUCAGCAGGACAUGGGCAGCCCUCCAUGGCGCCACAAUUAUACAAUAAAUGUCACCCUGUCAACCAAGGCUCUUAAUGCCCAGAACCAUAUGCCUUUUAGAGGCCAUUCUGCAAGUUCCCAGGAGCAGUCACCAGGGAGGCCACAGGUCAGUCAGUCCUCUAUGAAAUGUUUUGUCCUCAAAGAGUCAUUAGACUUUUCUGCACUGGUCUCCUGGCUCCCGGCUCUCUGCAUCUGCCCUUUGUCUUAGGUUCUCCAGCAGGAUGAAACCUUGGGAAGCCAUGAUCCUGUUCCUGGGCAGCCAUAGACAGCAGCAUUCAACAGCAGUGGACCAGGGAAUGCAAAUCAACACACAAUUAAACCUCAGCCUUAACCUAUCGGACUUUAAAUAUUGCCGGGGUGGCCAGAGGCAGGGAGAUGGGCACCUUCCUUUACCUGGAUGGUUGGAAGCCUUGCACAUUUUCUGGAGGGAAUUUGACCCUGUGUGUUAAAUGAUCCAUGAUGGCCCCUUUAACUUCUUAAAUUUCUAGGAAUUUAUUCUCAACCAAAACAAAAUUGCAGAAAAAUGUAAGUGCAAAGAUAAUUAUCUCAGUGUGGUAGUCAAAUACUUACAAAUAAUAAUGAUGUUGAAAUAAAUAAAAUAAAGGUCUAUCCACAACUAAAAAAUAUUAAUAAAUAAUGACAUUAAAAACAAUCUAGAUACGAUUGAGCCAAUGAAUUAUUAUGCAGUUGAUAAAAUACUAUGCAACUGUUAAAAGUAAUGUUGGACAUUUACACCCAAAGUCAUAGAAAAAAUAUUCACCUGGCUCACUGUGUUAGAUGAGACAUAGGCAAAGAGCCACAUGUUUAGCCCAUGUAGGUAAAAGUGUGAGUGUUCAGGUCUAAGAAACACACAAGGGCUGGAGUUGUGGCUCAGUGGUACAGCGCUUGCCUAGCACGUGCGGACGAGUUUUGUACCACUGGGUACCACUUAUUUUUACUUAUUUUAUUUACUUUAAAUUAAAUUUACAUAAAAAUAAGUAAAUGAAAUAAAUAUAUUUUAAAAAUUUAUUUUAAAAAAAAGAAAAAGAAACACACAAGUGAUGAUCAAAUUGUGAAGGUCACCUCUGCAGAGUGGGAUUCGGGGAUGGUUUUAACUUUCUUCUUCACAUUUUCUGUAUUUCUUAAAAUUGUCCACAAUAAAUAUGAAUCACUUUUUCAACAGGAAAAAAAAAAGCUGU
rnacentral:lncRNA from 1 species